rnacentral:rRNA from 2 species
GGGUUGUGAGGUUAAGCGACUAAGCGUACACGGUGGAUGCCCUGGCAGUCAGAGGCGAUGAAGGGCGUGCUAAUCUGCGAUAAGCGCCGGUAAGGUGAUAUGAACCGUUAUAACCGGCGAUACCCGAAUGGGGAAACCCAGUGUGACUCGUCACACUAUCAUUAACUGAAUCCAUAGGUUAAUGAGGCGAACCGGGGGAACUGAAACAUCUAAGUACCCCGAGGAAAAGAAAUCAACCGAGAUUCCCCCAGUAGCGGCGAGCGAACGGGGAGGAGCCCAGAGCCUGAAUCAGCAUGUGUGUUAGUGGAAGCGUCUGGAAAGGCGCGCGAUACAGGGUGACAGCCCCGUACACAAAAGCGCAUGUGCUGUGAGCUCGAUGAGUAGGGCGGGACACGUGGUAUCCUGUCUGAAUAUGGGGGGACCAUCCUCCAAGGCUAAAUACUCCUGACUGACCGAUAGUGAACCAGUACCGUGAGGGAAAGGCGAAAAGAACCCCGGCGAGGGGAGUGAAAAAGAACCUGAAACCGUGUACGUACAAGCAGUGGGAGCACA